rnacentral:rRNA from 1 species
AACGAACGCUGGCGGCAAGCUUAACACAUGCAAGUCGAACGGAUUGUUCUCGUAGCUUGCUAUGAGAACAAUUAGUGGCAGACGGGUGAGUAAUGCAUAGGAAUCUACCUAGUAGUAUAGGAUAGCCACUAGAAGUGGUGGGUAAUACUGUAUAAUCCCUGCGGGGGAAAGAUUUAUCGCUACAUGAUGAGCCUAUGUUAGAUUAGCUAGUUGGGGGGGUAAUGGCCUACCAAGGCAGUGAUCUAUAGCUGGUCUGAGAGGAUGAUCAGCCACACUGGAACUGAGACACGGUCCAGACUCCUACGGGAGGCAGCAGUGGGGAAUAUUGGACAAUGGGCGCAAGCCUGAUCCAGCUAUGCCGCGUGAGUGAGGAAGGCCUUAGGGUUGUAAAACUCUUUCAGUGGGGAAAAUAAUGACGGUACCCAC